GUUGUCGAUGUCGAGUGGUAAAAGCGAUAGACUAGAAAUCUUUUGGGAUCUUCCCGCGCAGGUUCGAAUCCUGCCGACAACG
rnacentral:tRNA from 1 species